CUCCUGCUGACGAGUCCCAAAUAGAACGAAGCAGCCGUCCAACGC
rnacentral:hammerhead_ribozyme from 1 species